AGCAGCCGCGGUAAUUCCAGCUCCAAUAGCGUAUAUUAAAGUUGUUGCAGUUAAAAAGCUCGUAGUUGAACUUCAGGCCUGUCCAGAUGGUCCGCCUUAAUUGGUGUGCACUGUCCUUGGGUGGGUCCUACCUUCUGGCGAAGCGGCAUGGCCUUAAUUGGUUGUGUUGGGGAACCAGGACUUUUACUGUGAAAAAAUUAGAGUGUUCAAAGCAGGCAUUAUAUGCUCGAAUACAUUAGCAUGGAAUAAUGGAAUAGGACGAUGGUUCUAUUUUGUUGGUUCUAGGACCGUUGUAAUGAUUAAUAGGGAUAGUUGGGGGCAUUAGUAUUCAAUUGUCAGAGGUGAAAUUCUUGGAUUUAUUGAAGACUAACUACUGCGAAAGCAUUUGCCAAGGAUGUUUUCAUUAAUCAAGAACGAAAGUUAGGGGAUCGAAGACGAUCAGAUACCGUCGUAGUCUUAACCAUAAACUAUGCCGACUAGGAAUCGGGCGAUGUUGACAAAAUGACUCGCUCGGCACCUCAUG
rnacentral:rRNA from 1 species